AACGAACGCUGGCGGCAUGCCUAACACAUGCAAGUCGAACGAGACCUUCGGGUCUAGUGGCGCACGGGUGCGUAACACGUGGGGAAAUUUUGCCUCGGGGUAUGGGAAUAAACUCAGGGAAACUUGAGCUAAUACCAUAUAAUGUCUUCGGACCAAAGAUUUAUCGCCCUGAGAUAAGCCCGCGUAGGAUUAGCUAGUUGGUGAGGUAAAGGCUCACCAAGGCGACGAUCCUUAGCUGGUCUGAGAGGAUGAUCAGCCACACUGGGACUGAGACACGGCCCAGACUCCUACGGGAGGCAGCAGUGGGAAUAUUGGACAAUGGGCGAAGACCUGAUCCAGCAAUAGCCGCGUGAGUGAUGAAGGCCUUCGGUUCGGUU
rnacentral:rRNA from 1 species